rnacentral:rRNA from 1 species
GAUGAACGCUGGCGGCGUGCUUAACACAUGCAAGUCGAACGGUGAACGAGGGAGCUUGCUCCCUCCGGAUCAGUGGCGAACGGGUGAGUAACACGUGAGCAAUCUGCCCUGGACUCUGGGAUAAGCGUUGGAAACGACGUCUAAUACCGGAUACGAGGCGUGGGGGCAUCCCCAACGCCUGGAAAGAACUUCGGUCCAGGAUGAGCUCGCGGCCUAUCAGCUAGUUGGUGAGGUAACGGCUCACCAAGGCGACGACGGGUAGCCGGCCGGAGAGGGUGACCGGCCACACUGGGACUGAGGCACGGCCCAGACUCCUACGGGAGGCAGCAGUGGGGAAUAUUGCACAAUGGGCGCAAGCCUGAUGCAGCAACGCCGCGUGAGGGACGACGGCCUUCGGGUUGUAAACCUCUUUUAGCAGGGAAGAAGCGAAAGUGACGGUACCUGCAGAAAAAGCACCGGCUAACUACGUGCCAGCCGCCGCGGUAAUAC